rnacentral:rRNA from 1 species
UAAUAAGUUACUAAGGGCACACAGGGAAUGCCUAGGCUCUCAGAGGCGAAGAAAGACGUGAUAAGCUGCGAAAAGCUGCGGGGAUUGGCAAAUACGAUUUGAUCCGCAGAUGUCUGAAUGGGGAAACCUGGCAUAUUGAAGAUAUGUCAUUCGAAAGGAAGCGAACGCGCUGAACUGAAACAUCUAAGUAGGCGCAGGAGAAGAAAACAAUAGUGAUUUCCGUAGUAGCGGC